rnacentral:rRNA from 1 species
CCCGCCCGUCACACCAGUGGGUAGUUGUAUUGCCUCCAAGAAGUGGCUGAGCUAACCCCGCAAGGGGAGCAGGUCCCCAAGGAGUGGUCGAUGACUGGGGUG